rnacentral:rRNA from 1 species
AAUGAACGCUGGCGGCAUGCCUAACACAUGCAAGUCGAACGAGACCUUCGGGUCUAGUGGCGCACGGGUGCGUAACGCGUGGGAACCUGCCCUUAGGUUCGGAAUAAUUCCCCGAAAGGGGUGCUAAUACCGGAUAAUGUCUUCGGAUCAAAGAUUUAUCGUCUUUGGAUGGGCCCGCGUUGGUUUAGCUAGUUGGUAGGGUAAAAGCCUACCAAGGCGACGAUCCAUAGCUGGUCUGAGAGGAUGAUCAGCCACACUGGGACUGAGCCACGGCCCAGACUCCUACGGGAGGCAGCAGUGGGGAAUAUUGGACAAUGGGCGAAAGCCUGAUCCAGCAAUGCCGCGUGAGUGAUGAAGGCCUUAGGGUUGUAAAGCUCUUUUACCCGGGAUGAUAAUGACAGUACCGGGAGAAUAAGCUCCGGCUAACUCCGUG